UGGGGAAUAUUGCGCAAUGGGCGAAAGCCUGACGCAGCAACACCGCGUGAGGGAUGACGGCCUUCGGGUUGUAAACCUCUUUCAGCUCCGACGAAGCGAAAAAUGACGGUACCUGCAGAAGAAGGUGCGGCCAACUACGUGCCAGCAGCCGCGGUGACACGUAGGCACCAAGCGUUGUCCGGAUUUAUUGGGCGUAAAGAGCUCGUAGGCGGUUCAGUAAGUCGGGUGUGAAAACUCUGGGCUCAACCCAGAGACGCCACCCGAUACUGCUGUGACUUGAGUACGGUAGGGGAGUGGGGGAAUUCCUGGUGUAGCGGUGAAAAUGCGCAGAUAUCAGGAGGAAACACCAGUGGCGAAGGCGCCACUCUGGGCCGUAACUGACGCUGAGGAGCGAAAAGCAUGGGUAGCAAACAGGAUUAGAUACCCUGGUAGUCCAUGCCGUAAAACGUUGGGCACUAGGUGUGGGUCUCAACCAACGAGAUCCGCGCCGUCGCUAACGCAUUAAGUGCCCCGCCUGGGGAGUACGGUCGCAAGACU
rnacentral:rRNA from 1 species